AAUUGCUAGUAAUCGCGGAUCAGAAUGCCGCGGUGAAUACGUUCCCGGGCCUUGUACACACCGCCCGUCACACCAUGAGAGCCGGUAACACCCGAAGUCAGGAGCCUAACCGCAAGGAGGGCGCUGCCGAAGGUGGGAUUGGUAAUUGGGGUGAAGUCGUAACAAGGUAUC
rnacentral:rRNA from 1 species